rnacentral:rRNA from 1 species
GGCGCGCUUAACGCAUGCAAGUCGAGCGAUGAGGCUCCCUUCGGGGAGUCAUCAGCGGCAGACGGGUGAGUAACACGUAGAUAACCUGCCCUCAAGACGGGGACAACCGGUGGAAACAGCGGCUAAUACCCGAUAUGCUCACAGGAUCGGGAGAUCGAGUGAGGAAAGGCUUCGGUGCUUGAGGAGGGAUCUGCGGCCCAUCAGCUAGUUGGUGAGGUAACGGCUCACCAAGGCGAAGACGGGUAGGGGGUGUGAGAGCAUGGCCCCCCACAAUGGGACUGAGACACGGCCCAUACUCCUACGGGAGGCAGCAGCGGGGAAUAUUGCGCAAUGGACGGAAGUCAGACGCAGCGACGCCGCGUGGGUGAGGAAGGCCUUCGGGUUGUAAAGCCCUUUUCAGGGGAGCGAGAAAGGACGGUACCCUUGGAAUAAGCGUCGGCUAACUACGUGCCAGCAGCCGCGGUAAGACGUAGGACGCAAGCGUUAUCCGGAUUUACUGGGCGUAAAGCGCCUGUAGGCGGUCAAGUAAGUCGGAUGUGAAAGCCCCGUGCUCAACGCGGGGAAGCCAUUCGAUACUGCGUGACUAGAGAACGGCAGAGGGAAACGGAAUUUCUGGUGUAGCGGUAAAAUGCGCAGAGAUCAGAAAGAACACCGAUGGCGAAGGCAGUUUCCUAGGCCGCAUCUGACGCUGAGAGGCGAAAGCUAGGGGAGCAAACAGGAUUAGAGACCCUGGUAGUCCUAGCUGUAAACGAUGGAUGCUAGGUGUGGGCCGGAAAGGUCCGUGCCGUAGUUAACGCGAUAGGCAUCCCGCCUGGGGAGUACGGCCGCAAGGCUAAUACUCAAACGAAUUGACGGGGACCCGCACAAGCAGCGGAGCGUGUGGUUUAAUUCGAUGCUACACGCAGAACCUUACCUGGGCUUGACAUGUAGGUGGUAGUGAAGUGAAAGCGGAGCGACCAUUCGGGGAGCAUACACAGGUGCUGCAUGGCUGUCGUCAGCUCGUGC